rnacentral:rRNA from 1 species
UACGGGAGGCAGCAGUGGGGAAUAUUGCACAAUGGGCGAAAGCCUGAUGCAGCUAUGCCGCGUGUAUGAAGAAGGCCUUAGGGUUGUAAAGUACUUUCAUCGGGGAGGAAAAACAAAACUAAUAAUUUUAUUUCUUGACGUUACCCGAAAAAGAAGCACCGGCUAACUCCGUGCCAGCAGCCGCGGUAAUACGGAGGGUGCUAGCGUUAAUCAGAAUUACUGGGCGUAAAGAGCACGUAGGUGGUUUUUUUAAAGUCAGAUGUGAAAUCCCUGGGCUUAACCUAGGAACUGCAUUUUGAAACUGAAAUACUAGAGUAUCGUAGAGGGAGGUAGAAUUCUAGGUGUAGCGGUGAAAUGCGUAGAUAUCUGGAGGAAUACCUGUGGCGAAAGCGGCCUCCUAAACGAAUACUGACACUGAGGUGCGAAAGCGUGGGGAGCAAACAGGGAUCAGAUACC